rnacentral:misc_RNA from 1 species
GGCGAUGGCGUUGAGGACGCUGAGGCCGCCGACGGUGAAGGUGACGGCGCAGGCACCGACGCCUCGGGAUCUGGCGUAGCCGUCAGCGGCGUAGCCAGCGUUAAGCUCGUUGCAGCAGCCGAUGAAGCUGAGGCCGGGCUCGGCGACGAGGUGAUCGAGGAGGGUGAGGUUGAAGUCACCGGGGACGCCGAAGACGUCGCUGACGCCGAUCUGGACGAGCCGGCGGGCGAGGUGACGGCCGAGGGUGGCCUCGGCGACGGAGUAACACGGAGCUGGGGAGAUCGGGUGAGAGGGGAUCGGCGGCGGCGAGCCAACGGCACCGUUGGGCAGUUUCGUUGCGUUGUCGAUGGAUCCGGUCAGAGUGUCCAUUUGGGGG